rnacentral:rRNA from 1 species
AUCUACCUUGUACGGGGGAAUAGCCCAGAGAAAUUUGGAUUAAUGCCCCAUAGUAUAGUUGAAUGGCAUCAUUUGAUUAUUAAAGUUCAGGCGGUACAAGAUGAGCAUGCGUCCCAUUAGCUAGUUGGUAUGGUAACGGCAUACCAAGGCAAUGAUGGGUAGGGGUCCUGAGAGGGAGAUCCCCCACACUGGUACUGAGACACGGACCAGACUCCUACGGGAGGCAGCAGUGAGGAAUAUUGGGCAAUGGACGCUAGUCUGACCCAGCCAUGCCGCGUGCAGGAAGACGGUCCUAUGGAUUGUAAACUGCUUUUGUACGGGAAGAAACCCUACUACGCGUAGUAGAUUGACGGUACCGUACGAAUAAGGAUCGGCUAACUCCGUGCCAGCAGCCGCGGUAAUACGGAGGAUCCAAGCGUUAUCCGGAAUCAUUGGGUUUAAAGGGUCCGUAGGCGGUUUUAUAAGUCAGUGGUGAAAUCUGGUCGCUCAACGAUCAAACGGCCAUUGAUACUGUAGAACUUGAAUGAUUAGGAAGUAACUAGAAUAUGUAGUGUAGCGGUGAAAUGCUUAGAUAUUACAUGGAAUACCAAUUGCGAAGGCAGGUUACUACUAAUUGAUUGACGCUGAUGGACGAAAGCGUGGGUAGCGAACAGGAUUAGAUACCCUGGUAGUCCACGCCGUAAACGAUGGAUACUAGCUGUUGGGAGCAAUUUCAGUGGCUAAGCGAAAGUGAUAAGUAUCCCACCUGGGGAGUACGAACGCAAGUUUGAAACUCAAAGGAAUUGACGGGGGCCCGCACAAGCGGUGGAGCAUGUGGUUUAAUUCGAUGAUACGCGAGGAACCUUACCAAGGCUUAAAUGUAUUUUGACCGGUUUGGAAACAGACCUUUCGCAAGACAAAUUACAAGGUGCUGCAUGGUUGUCGUCAGCUCGUGCCGUGAGGUGUCAGGUUAAGUCCUUUAACGAGCGCAACCCCUGUUGUUAGUUGCCAGCGAGUAAGGUCGGGAACUCUAGCAAGACUGCCAGUGCAAACUGUGAGGAAGGUGGGGAUGACGUCAAAUCAUCACGGCCCUUACGCCUUGGGCUACACACGUGCUACAAUGGUAAGUACAGAGAGCAGCCACAACGCAAGUUGGAGCGAAUCUAUAAAGCUUAUCUCAGUUCGGAUCGGAGCCUGCAACUCGACUCCGUGAAGCUGGAAUCGCUAGUAAUCGGAUAUCAGCCAUGAUCCGGUGAAUACGUUCCCGGGCCUUGUACACACCGCCCGUCAAGCCAUGGAAGCUGGGGGUACCUGAAGUCGGUGACCGCAAGGAGCUGCCUAGGGUAAAACUGGUAACUGGGGCUAAGUCGUAACAAGGUAACCAAGCC